UUCGCCCUUAGAGUUUGAUCCUGGCUCAGGACGAACGCUGGCGGCGCGCCUAACACAUGCAAGUCGAACGGAGCUUAGAGAGCUUGCUUUUUAAGCUUAGUGGCGAACGGGUGAGUAACGCGUGAGUAACCUGCCCUAGAGUGGGGGACAACAGUUGGAAACGACUGCUAAUACCGCAUAAGCCCACGGUACCGCAUGGCACUGAGGGAAAAGGAUUUAUUCGCUUUAGGAUGGACUCGCGUCCAAUUAGCUAGUUGGUGAGGUAACGGCCCACCAAGGCGACGAUUGGUAGCCGGACUGAGAGGUUGAACGGCCACAUUGGGACUGAGACACGGCCCAGACUCCUACGGGAGGCAGCAGUGGGGGAUAUUGCACAAUGGGGGAAACCCUGAUGCAGCGACGCCGCGUGGAGGAAGAAGGUUUUCGGAUUGUAAACUCCUGUCGUUAGGGACGAUAAUGACGGUACCUAACAAGAAAGCACCGGCUAACUACGUGCCAGCAGCCGCGGUAAAACGUAGGGUGCAAGCGUUGUCCGGAAUUACUGGGUGUAAAGGGAGCGCAGGCGGGAAGACAAGUUGGAAGUGAAAACCAUGGGGCUCAACCUAUGAAUUGCCCUUCAAAACUGUUUUUCUUGAGUAGUGCAGAGGUAGGAUGGAAUUUCCCGGUGUAGCGGUGGAAUGCGUGGAUAUCGGGAGGAACACCAGUGGCGAAGGCGGUCUUCUGGGCACCAACUGACGCUGAGGCUCGAAAGCAUGGGUAGCAAACAGGAUUAGAUACCCUGGUAGUCCAUGCCGUAAACGAUGAUUACUAGGUGUUGGGGGAUUGACCCCCUCAGUGCCGCAGUUAACACAAUAAGUAAUCCACCUGGGGAGUACGACCGCAAGGUUGAAACUCAAAGGAAUUGACGGGGGCCCGCACAAGCAGUGGAGUAUGUGGUUUAAUUCGAAGCAACGCGAAGAACCUUACCAGGUCUUGACAUCCGAUGCAUAGCACAGAGAUGUGUGAAAUCCUUCGGGACAUCGAGACAGGUGGUGCAUGGUUGUCGUCAGCUCGUGUCGUGAGAUGUUGGGUUAAGUCCCGCAACGAGCGCAACCCUUAUUGCCAGUUACUACGUUAAGAGGACUCUGGCGAGACUGCCGUUGACAAAACGGAGGAAGGUGGGGAUGACGUCAAAUCAUCAUGCCCUUUAUGACCUGGGCUACACACGUACUACAAUGGCGUUAAACAAAGAGAAGCAAGACCGCGAGGUGGAGCAAAACUCAAAAACAACGUCUCAGUUCAGAUUGCAGGCUGCAACUCGCCUGCAUGAAGUCGGAAUUGCUAGUAAUCGCGGAUCAGCAUGCCGCGGUGAAUACGUUCGCGGGCCUUGCACACACCGCCCGUCA
rnacentral:rRNA from 1 species